UACGAAGGGGGCUAGCGUUGCUCGGAAUCACUGGGCGUAAAGCGCACGUAGGCGGCUUUCUAAGUCAGGGGUGAAAUCCUGGAGCUCAACUCCAGAACUGCCUUUGAUACUGGAGAGCUAGAGUCCGGAAGAGGUGAGUGGAACUGCGAGUGUAGAGGUGAAAUUCGUAGAUAUCGGGAAGAACACCCGUGGCGAAGGCGGCUCUCUGGGACGGUACUGACGCUGAGACGCGAAAGCGUGGGGAGCGAACAGG
rnacentral:rRNA from 1 species